rnacentral:rRNA from 1 species
UACGAAGGGGGCUAGCGUUGCUCGGAAUCACUGGGCGUAAAGCGCACGUAGGCGGAUUGCUAAGUCAGGGGUGAAAUCCUGGAGCUCAACUCCAGAACUGCCUUUGAUACUGGUGAUCUUGAGUCCGGGUGAGGUGAGUGGAACUGCGAGUGUAGAGGUGAAAUUCGUAGAUAUUCGCAAGAACACCAGUGGCGAAGGCGGCUCACUGGCCCGGUACUGACGCUGAGGCGCGAAAGCUAGGGGAGCAAACGGG